rnacentral:misc_RNA from 1 species
CUUCGAACCCUCAUUCGUGCGCCGGGCACGAUCCAGCUCGACGAGCGCCGCAUCUCCGUCAUUUCGAUGCGAGCCGAAAGCUGGGUACAGAAAGUCGCGAACGUCACCACCGGCAGCAAAGUCAGUAAAGGCCAGCCGUUGAUGGAAAUUUACAGUCCAUCCGUGGCAUCGGCGGCCGCCGAAUACAUAGCCACCAUCACGUCGAAGGGGACGAGCGGCGUCGCCGUGUAUGGUCGCGGCUCGCGGCAGCGGCUGAUGAACCUCGACGUCCCCGACACAGCUAUUGCCGCCAUGGAGAAGAGUGGCACUGUUCCGAUCACCAUCGACUGGUCGGCACCGCGCGA